rnacentral:rRNA from 1 species
AUUAUACAGCGAAACUGCGAAUGGCUCAUUAAAUCAGUUAUCGUUUAUUUGAUAGUACCUUACUACUUGGAUAACCGUGGUAAUUCUAGAGCUAAUACAUGCUGAAAACCCCGACUCACGGGAAGGGGUGUAUUUAUUAAAUUAAAAACCAAUGCCCUUCGGGGCUCUCUGGUGAUUCAUAAUAACUUCUCGAAUCGCAUGGCCUUGCGCCGGCGAUGGUUCAUUCAAAUUUCUGCCCUAUCAACUUUCGAUGGCAGGGUCUUGGCCUGCCAUGGUUACAACGGGUAACGGAGGGUUAGGGCUCGACCCCGGAGAAGGAGCCUGAGAAACGGCUACUACAUCCAAGGAAGGCAGCAGGCGCGCAAAUUACCCAAUCCCGAUACGGGGAGGUAGUGACAAUAAAUACUGAUACAGGGCUCUUUUGGGUCUUGUAAUUGGAAUGAGUACAAUCUAAAUCCCUUAACGAGGAACAAUUGGAGGGCAAGUCUGGUAGGCCAGCAGCCGGCGGUAAUACGCCGCUCCAAUAGCGUAUAUUAAAGUGAAGCGGUUAAAAAGCUCGGAGUUGCCCCCCGGAAAUAGCCGACCCGCAGCCAACUCCGCGUGCACUGGUUCGGCCGGGCCUUUGACUAGCGGAGCCGCGUGCAAGCGAGUGGGUGUGCCGGGGAACCAGUGUUUAGACUUUUAAUUUGAAAAAAUUAGAGUGUGAAAGCAGGGCUAUACACCAAUACAUUAGCUAUGGAAUAAUGGAAUAGGACGUGGGGUUCUAUUUUGUUGGUUUCUAGGACCGCCGUAAUGAUUAAUAGGGACAGUCGGGGGCAUCAGUAUUCAUUAGAAUUGUCAGAGGUGAAAUUCUCGUACUUAUUGAAGUCUAACUACUGCGAAAGCAUUUGCCAAGGAUGUUUUCAUUAAUCCGGAACGAAAGUUAUGGGGAGUCGCAGACGAUCAGAUACCGUCGGGGUCUUGGAACCUUUACCUAUGCCGACUAGGGAUCGGACGAUGUUAUUAUUUGACUCGUUCGGCACCUUACGAGAAGUCAAAGUCUUUGGG